AUUUUGCACUUGGAAAUAUGUCAGAAAUCACUUGAAGGCAAAUAAGAUCUGGCCCUCUGCAGAGGUAAGAAGGCUCAAAGGAACUCGAAGAGAAAGCAAUGGGGAAGCAGAUUAGACAGAAGGUCUCUCUGGAAGCAGCAUUUUCUGCUGUGGAUGAAAUCAUGUUUUCCAGCCCGAUGCACUCCUCCUACAGAAACUGGUCAGCAUUUCUCCAGGCGCGAGAAGUGCCAAUGCCUGUGUCCCAUCACAGACUCUGGAGUGAAACUGCCUGGUUCAGAUCCCAACAGCCCUGUGGCCAAGGUGUGAAAUGGCAAUCAAUGCGAAGAAGUGAGCAAUAAACACGUUUUGGGAA